UUGUCCCUACGGGGCGCAGCAGUGGGGAAUAUUGCACAAUGGGGGAAACCCUGAUGCAGCGACGCCGCGUGAGCGAAGAAGUAUUUCGGUAUGUAGAGCUCUAUCAGCAGGGAAGAAAAAUGACGGUACCUGAGUAAGAAGCACCGGCUAAAUACGUGCCAGCAGCCGCGGUAAUACGUAGGGGGCAAGCGUUAUCCGGAUUUACUGGGUGUAAAGGGAGCGUAGACGGCAGCGCAAGUCUGGAGUGAAAUGCCGGGGCCCAACCCCGGAACUGCUCUGGAAACUGUGAAGCUGGAGUGCAGGAG
rnacentral:rRNA from 1 species